GACGAACGCUGGCGGCGUGCUUAACACAUGCAAGUCGAACGGAAAAGCCCCUUUGGGGGUACUCGAGUGGCGAACGGGUGAGUAACACGUGAGUAACCUGCCCUUGACUUCGGGAUAACUUCAGGAAACUGGGGCUAAUACCGGAUAGGAAUCCUUGCUGCAUGGUGGGGGUUGGAAAGCUUCGGCGGUUUUGGAUGGACUCGCGGCUUAUCAGCUUGUUGGUGGGGUAGUGGCUUACCAAGGCUUUGACGGGUAGCCGGCCUGAGAGGGCGACCGGCCACAUUGGGACUGAGAUACGGCCCAGACUCCUACGGGAGGCAGCAGUGGGGAAUAUUGCACAAUGGGCGGAAGCCUGAUGCAGCAACGCCGCGGGCGGGAUGACGGCCUUCGGGUUGUAAACCGCUUUCAGCAGGGGCGAAGCUUGUGGUGACGGUACCUGCAGAAGAAGCACCGGCUAACUACGUG
rnacentral:rRNA from 1 species